GAAAUGCGAUAAGUAGUGUGAAUUGCAGAAUUCAGUGAAUCAUCGAAUCUUCGAACGCACAUUGCGCCCCUUGGUAUUCCAUGGGGCAUGCCUGUUCGAGCGUCAUUUGUACCCUCAAGCUCUGCUUGGUGUUGGGUGUUUGUCCCCGUCUCCGCGCGUGGACUCGCCCCAAAGUGAUUGGCAGCCGGCGUACUGGUCCCGGAGCGCAGCACAUGUCGCGCAAACGAGUGCCUUGGUACGGCGGCGUCCAUAAGCCCCUCUCUCACGCUCUUGACCUCGGAUCAGGUAGGGAUACCCGCUGAACUUAAGC
rnacentral:misc_RNA from 1 species